rnacentral:lncRNA from 1 species
CCGACUUGUGCGAAAGGAGGGAACGUGUGGGUCUGCCAGGGUCCUGCAGGGGGGAUGAGACCCUCGCUCCGCUCCGGCGAUCCCUUCGCUCUCCACCCUCGGCCAGCCCCUCCUGUCCUCCAUCAGGCCUCGCUGAGGAUACCUCCUGGGUUCCAAAGCGCGAGUUGAACCUGAGCUUGACAUUCAUUCCGUCUCGUACAAAAGCCAUGCCUGCGGGGAGAGGGAGAAAAUUUCCUACAGGAGCCUCAAGACUGCGUUUCAGGAAGCCCUAGGACCCACUGAUCCUGCAGCUGCGCCUCUCACUCGCCUCAGGUCCUGAGCUGGAACGAUGGAAUCUAGCAGAAGUUGCCUUUCCAGA